rnacentral:lncRNA from 1 species
CAUCUUUUUCAUUGAGCUUACCUUACCAGAAAAGUAUUCUGUUGUCACAAAGGUCAUCCACUCUCCUUCCCUUCCCUUCCCUUCCCUUCCCUUCCCUUCCCUUCCCUUCCCUUCCCUUCCCUUCCCUUCCCUUCCCUUCCCUUCCCUUCCCUUCCCUUCCCUUCCCUUCCCUUCCCUUCCCUUCCCUUCCCUUCCCUUCCCUUCCCUUCCCUUCCUUCCUUCCUUCCUUCCCUCUUUUCUUUCUUUUUCUACUUUGUCUUCUUUCUUUCCAGGAUUAAAAGGCAAAACAUGACUGCAGACAUCGCACCCACCCUACUGGAGUACCCUAUGUUUUGUACUUCGCAGCUCAAUGCACAGCUUGUAAUCAUUAGAAAACUAUGGGGCAUCUUCUGGGUGAUUAUUAGAGGGAACUACAUUCUGGCAGCCUGUGAAAGCCAGGAUGUGGCAGAUCUGUCCAGUUCUGUUGGAAAUGAACAUUUGGACAUGGAGGCUCUGCAUGGAAGGUGGAUGCAGAUAGAUGCCUCGCGGAGAAAAGUACCUCUGGGAUUUGCCGAAACAUUCACAAGAUGCUAAUUUGUCAUAAUCCCAGCUCCCACAAAGCAAAGAAAUGAGGGAAGAUAUAGCAGCAGACUGACAACUGCUCAUCUUGAUGACUACCAGCACUCUGGAACUGAACCUGCAAGACCUCAGUUGUCCUAUUUGUUGUCUGCAAAUAACUGUGAAACUCCCAGCUGGAAUGGGUGUCUCCGCCUGCCCUUUCCUUUAACCGGUGUCUGGUCUAUGAAGAAAAGAGCAGCUUAUUUAACACAGUAAAUAUACAGUGCAGAUCCUUAUUACUUGGUUGAAGCUAGUAACUCUUCCAUGGCACUCGAAAUGUGUGACAAAUACAAAUCUGUGUGACAAAGGUUUUUUUUCCAUUUUUUUAUGGAAAAGAUUUGGUUUUGUGUUUUGGCUCCUUGGAGGCUGCAGGGCUUAAACAGGACAGGGCAAGGCACGGGGUGGGACUGAUACA